AUGGGACGCAGCAGUGGGGAAUAUUGGACAAUGGGGGAACCCUGAUCCAGCGGCGCCGCGCGAGUGAAGAAGUAUUUCGGUAUGUAAAGCUCUAUCAGCAGGGAAGAAAGAAAUGACGGUACCUGACUAAGAAGCCCCGGCUAACUACGUGCCAGCAGCCGCGGUAAUACGUAGGGGGCAAGCGUUAUCCGGAUUUACUGGGUGUAAAGAGAGCGUGGACGGCGAUGCAAGUCUGAAGUGAAAGGCGGGGGCCCGACCCCCGGACUGCUUUGGAAACUGUAUGGCUGGAGUGCAGGAGAGGUAAG
rnacentral:rRNA from 1 species